rnacentral:lncRNA from 1 species
UUGGUCCCUGAGAGGCAUGAGAGAAGGAGAAAAUUUGUGAAUGCAUUUCUCGAGUUUGGAUUUGCGUCAAGAAGAGAAGGUGAUGGUCUUCAGACUCUCUGCCCUCCAGAUCUGAAGACACAUUUGCGUUUUGUCUUGAGAGUGAGGCAGACCCAGUCCAACUCUGGAACGGGAAAGAAAAACGGAGGAAGGAAGAGAGCAGAAUGAGGAGGAAAUGAAUGAUGGCAAAGGCCUGCUGCAUCAUCACGUCUGUCCUGGCACACAGCUAUCUGAUCUUCAAGGACUGUUGUAAGAUAAGUUUUAAAU